AUCUUUCCAGGUUCUGGAGCAGGAAAUCAGCGGCAGAUCAAAUGUUUGUCUCUGCCUUCCUGAUGGAGCAGGACCUCAGGAAAGUCUGGCAACACAACAAAAGACCAUUUUAACUCUAAUAACAUUAAUGUUCAUGCACAUGCUGAUCUACCACACUAUGACCCACACGCAGGUUAUCUCGUCUUUAUCAGUGUGACCUGGGUUUCCCUUUUCUCCAGUGAACGGAUUCUGGUGUUUCAGUUACACAACUCCUUUAAACCUGAUCGACGUCUCUUAGAGUUUUCACUUGUGUACUUUCUGCUGUGUGUGUACUAAUACAUUUUCAUAAUAUGAGAAAUGUGAUGAAUAUGUUUUCAUUACAUUAUAAAAUACCAAAGUAAUGACGACAAUGUUGUUUUUUUACAGCGAUUAUACAAACAAACACAUCAUCCAUACAUUUAAAAUGACUCUAAUUCACCUGAUGAAGCCUCAUAGUGAAGACAGUGUUCCAGUUAAGCGGAGUUUCUUCUUCUCUGGGCUGUUUUUAGGUGUGUGUACGUUACUAUUGUAAGCACAACUCUGAGAUCUUACUUUUGCAGGUUUGUCAAUGUUUGUCGUCAGUUGUGUCAAGAAACCAACAUCCAGUACAUUUUUAUUCACACUUAAGUCGUUUGAUUGGACUUCUGUCCUCGACCCAGCAAAUAAUCAAUUUAUUGAAUCACGCGUGUCAACCUCCGCUACACUAGGUGGCGAUACACCUCUUUCAGCUUACAUUUUACCACAAAAGGAAGUUAGCAUGCCAAGCACCAUUUUGUUUCUUUCUACCACCUGUUAACUUCAAAAUAUUGAAUUCUUUCAGUUUACGCAGCAUAAAUUCACUAAAUCUUCUCUUUGUCUUUUCCCAGGUCAAAGUCUGAAUGCUGGAGCUGCACGUGGAUCUGACCACGGCCAGUUUGGGUUUUAAACACCGUGGUUCAGACAUGGACGAACAGACCGAACUCCUUUUAGUUAGAAUACAAAUGGAAGUGCGCUGGUUUACAAAGGAACACACGGUGAAUGAAGCUGCAGUGUUCCACGUGCGUCUGUAUCAUAUAUCAGUCUAUAUAACCUUUAGAUGCAUUUAUACUAUUUAUUUAUUUGCUUGGAAAUCACUUUCAGUUCAUUUGAUCUCAUGUUUUUCUAACGAGGAACACACACACACACACACACACACACACACACACAGAUGCUGCGUCUUGUUGUAGCAACAAAACAAAAGAAUCACCUGUUUCUUGUUUUUUGCUGUUUGACAGGAACACACUUUGAGUCCAGGCCAGGACGUGGUCUGGUUUUAUAAGGUCUGAACAUUUGGAGCCCGUGUGGCAGUCGACGGCCAGCUGUGGAGGCCAUGUGAGAAGUUGAAAGGAAACUUCAGCUGCCUCGCCAAUCUCACACCAUUACUCAGGAUGAAUCAAAAGAGGAACACUCUGGUUGGACAAAAGGAAAGCGAGGAGAGGAAGAGAGAGAGUGAACGACAAAGUGAAAGCAGCUGUGUGGAAGGGAAGCGCCUCAUCGUUACGACGACGACGACGACGAUGACGCGGCGCAUGCUCACAACCGUGUUUAAAUCUGGCCACAAUCAAACGCUCAAUUUACCUUUACAGGAAUAUUGGAGAUGUUCAGCCAAGGUCAGUUUUUUUUAAGGUGUGUGUGUGUGUGUGUGUGUGGGGGGGGAGGCUGCCUUCAAGUGUUUCUGCUUUUAAAAUAUAUAUGAGGUGUAGCUGGUGUAGACAACAAAGGCCCUCUCUAAUUCUUUCCUUUCCUGAGGGGGUAGAGUAGACGCUGCACCCACAUCAAGCCGCACCCCCACCACGCUGUACAGGUGCAACUUUAAAGGCGCUCUCAUUGAAGGCGGCCUGCAGUUAAAAUCUAAAUCUCCCCUCAUGUUUUUCCAUUUCUUUUACCACCUCUUGAUCUAAUACCAAAACAAAGUCUAACUUCUGUAUUUUCAUGCUUUAAUGGUGACAGUUGAGGUCAGUUCAAACACAUGUGUAUACAUCUGUAUUCUGACAGUUUAUUGAUCUAUUGUUUACACACUGAUAUGGAUUUCUUAUGUUACAUUCAAAACGCUUUCAAUUGAAAAGCAAUUUUCUUUUGCUUUAGUAUUUCAGCAGGAAUCUGUGUCUAUGACACACCUGAAAAACACCAGAUACAGGAACAGGAAGUUCGUUCUCUGUUAUUAGACAGUUUAUUCAAUGCAGUCAAUCAGACUUCAGACUUCUUCACGUCCGCGUCUCAAAAACGCUUCAUUUUUGUGUAAAAAAGGUGGAACUGUAGCAGAAUUGAUUAGUUUUUUAAUUCAAAUCAGUCUCAGUGUUUUUUCCACAACUUAUCAUCAGAAGUUAGAAUCUGACGCUAACAACAACAACAACAACACAGGAACAGGAAGUUAGCCAACGAUUAGCUAAGAGACAAAAUCACUGGCUCAGCUUUAACAGCUUUUGAAGCCAUUGUGUCUCUUUUUGAACUUAUUACUUAUUUUUAAAGACUAAGUUGGUUAGCUUAAAGCUAAUCUUCUUAAGUCUGUAAAAACUAGCAAUAGCGGGCUACUCACUACACAAGAAGACUCAAACACACAUGUCCCGCGCUCUUGUUAGCUUUCUCAUCAAAUCUCCAUUUUUUCCCUUUCUUCACGACUCAGUGGCUAAUAUGUUGCUAACGUCUCUUCUUCAGCAUUGUUUAAGUGUAAAGCUGCUAUGCUACUAAAACAUAGCAGGUUCUUCUUCAGCAGUCUUCCUCAUACAGCUUCAUUUAUUAUAUGAAUUAAGAUUCCUACGAAGAGGCUGAAAAACAAACGACAGAGCAAGUCUUUAACCAAGUGAUUCUUCAUAUUUCAACCCCAGAGACAAAGAAGACGUCUUUGCUCCUCAGAAGCCGAUUUAUGGCAGAAGUGAACGGACAGGUGAAGAUUGUGAAGCUCAUUUGUCUCUUUCCCCCUGAUGUCUGCAGACAUGCGAGCCACUGAUGUCAGUCACGCUGCUCUCAACUAUUCUCUGGACUUUAUGACUUCUAUCUACGAUCCAAGCUGCAGAUAACAAAGUUGUCAGGACGCUAUUAAAACGGCAAUAAAUUGCCUUUGACUGGGUGAAAGUGUAACUCAUCAUGCUAAAGGUUGCUGCACUUCUCUGACUUGGUACCAGACAGGUUGAUCUAGUAUUGACCUAAAUAGGUCUAUAAAGCAGAUAAGGGUAUCUUGCAUCCUCAGGAAGUUUGUCCCCUAAAAGACUAAAAGUUUACGGCCUCUAAAAGUGAAUAGCAAACUUGCAGAGGUCACGGACUAAAUGAUUGAGUUUGGCCACAAAUCUUUUGACUUUAUGCAGUCAGGAUGAUUUCCUGAGGAAAGUGAGUGUGUCAUCAUGUGUAGUUCAGGUCUUUACGUUUCCUUUUAAGGGUGUUGUUACCUCCUCGCCUUCUUUUACCUCAAGCUCAUUUUAGAAUGGAGAUAUUUGUCAUUUUCCAGACUGGGCGUACAGUUAAAGACGACUGUCCUUGAAUGUUAAUGAGCCGGGCUAAUCCACGGUCAGCUAUUAUUCAAGCAAAGGUCGCGCUCCCUGCAGAGGAAGUGCACCGCUAUCAUCAAUCUGUUCCUAAAGGCUGCAUGAGAAAGGAGCUGGAGGUCGUGGGUGGGGUUGAAAGUUUAGUGCACUGUAGGUGCCAAACACCCUGCCACCACCACCAUCUACAUGUCAAUGGGCCCCGCUUGUUGACUUGGUAUGUUCCACUUCCACAGAGGCCUCCUGUAACUUUGUUGUCGUUUAUCAUUUUGUCUCUGACAACCCUCUCCUUCAGCUUUG